GACGGAGGAUGCAAGCGUUAUCCGGAAUGAUUGGGCGUAAAGCGUCCGCAGGUGGCAGUUCAAGUCUGCUGUCAAAGACCGGGGCUUAACUUCGGAAAGGCAGUGGAAACUGAACAGCUAGAGUAUGGUAGGGGCAGAGGGAAUUCCUGGUGUAGCGGUGAAAUGCGUAGAGAUCAGGAAGAACAUCGGUGGCGAAGGCGCUCUGCUGGACCAUAACUGACACUCAGGGACGAAAGCGUGGGGAGCGAACGGG
rnacentral:rRNA from 1 species